rnacentral:rRNA from 1 species
AACGAACGCUGGCGGCAGGCCUAAUACAUGCAAGUCGAACGCUCCAGCAAUGGAGAGUGGCAGACGGGUGAGUAACGCGUGGGAACCUUCCCAGUGGUACGGAAUAGCUCAGGGAAACUUGAGGUAAUACCGUAUACGCCCUUUGGGGGAAAGAUUUAUCGCCAUUGGAUGGGCCCGCGUCGGAUUAGCUAGUUGGUGGGGUAAUGGCCCACCAAGGCGACGAUCCGUAGCUGGUCUGAGAGGAUGAUCAGCCACACUGGGACUGAGACACGGCCCAGACUCCUACGGGAGGCAGCAGUAGGGAAUAUUGGACAAUGGGCGAAAGCCUGAUUCAGCCAUGCCGCGUGAGUGACGAAGGCCUUCGGGUUGUAAAGCUCUUUUGGCGGGGACGAUCAUGACGGUACCCGCAGAAUAAGCUCCGGCUAACUUCGUGCCAGCAGCCGCAGUAAUAC